AAAGCAUUUGUACAAAAAAUGUAAAGUUCAUACGUACGUAUAGGGACUACUACAAUAAUGAUUAUACGAGUCUAAAGAACUCAAUCGGUGGUGGGUUUUAAAGUUUCUAGUUACAGAUCACCGGUGCACACCAGGUGUUUGUGAAAUGUCCCCUGUGAACUUGCCGGUGGAGUUUGGUGCUCGGGAUGUUGGGAAACAAGAUAAGUUUUGAAGUAUCCAUCCGUACAAAUGGUUCCUUCAUUCUUUGUGAUCUUGCUCAACCCAUCCACCCUUCACCUGGUACUCAUCUUCUCAACUCACACACUCCUAGUUUUUCAUUUUUUAUCUUGUAAUUUUUGUCCAUUUACAAAAUAGUUUGCAGCCAUUGCCAAGCAUUUGGAGAAUAAAAUCCGAGAAGGUCUGGUAAUUGUAUCUGCAAAUGGAGGGUGCCGAUGGAGAUUGAGGAUCAAACAAAUCAAUGGUAGUUACUGUUUUGCCAAUGGAUGGCACAAUGUGGUUCAAGAUAUCAAGUUGGGUCUUGGUGAUUUUCUCUACUUUCAGCCCCUUGAUCAAUUCACCUUAAGAAUGUCAAUCCAUAAUCCAAAUGGGUGUGAAAGAGUUAUGCCACCAAAAGUAGAACAUGUUAUUGAACAUGAUGACGAAGGCGAUGAUCCUUACUUUACGUUUAUUAUCACUAAAAACUACACAAACUCAUUGGUAAAAUUCAUUAGUUGUUACAAAAUAAUACUUGGUUAUAUAUGAAUUUAACAUGUUUGCAUGCAUGUUGGUACCGUAGUGAUUCCCAGCAGAAUUUGCUAAGUUGGUGAGAAUGGAAGCUGAAAGAACCAUGGCGAUGAAGAAUAAUGGCAAGUGAGUUUACAGGUGGAGAUAUCACAUGAUACGAAAAGGUACUAUUUAGCGACUGGAUGGUGUGUUUUUCAGCGAGAAAAUGGUUUAUCGGAGGGAGAUGAAUGUGUAAUCAAGUUUGUGAGAAGUGAAGGGAAGUUAUUACUAUCAAAAAUCACUUAGAUCUAACCACAACCUUGAUUUUUGGCUUUGGUUGCUCAGUGAUUUUUUAUGGUAAUAACUUCCCUUCACUUCUCACAAACUUGAUUACACAUUCAUCUCCCUUUGAUAAACCAUUUUCUCGCUUAAAAACACCUCAUCCGGUCGCCAAACAGUACCUUUUCGUAUCAUGUGAUAUCUCCACCCGCAAAGUCACUUGUCAUUCUUCUCCAUCAACAUUCUUCGUCGCCAUGGUUCAUUCGGCUUCCAUUCCCGCCAACUUCCCAAAAUUUAACUGUAGCGAUUACCGACGGAAUUUGCUAAGUUAGCGGGAAUGGAAGCUGAAGGAACCAUGGUGAUGAAGAAUGUUGAUGGAGAAAAUAGCAAGUGAGUUUGCGGGUGGAGAUAUCACAUGAUACGAAAAGGUACUGUUUAGCAACCGAAUAGGAUAUUUUUCGGCAAGAAAAUGGUUUAUCGGAAGGAGAUGAGUGUGUAAUCAAGUUUGUGAGAAGUGAAAGGAAGUUAUUACUAUAAAAAAUCACUGAGCAACCACAGACAAAAAUCAAGGUUGUGGUUAGAUCUAAGUGAUUUUUGAUAGUAAUAACUUCCUUUCACUUCUCACAAACUUGAUUACACAUUCAUCUCCCUCCGAUAAACCAUUUUCUCGCUGAAAAACACACCAUCCGGUCGCUAAAUAGUACCUUUUCGUAUCAUGUGAUAUCUCCACCUGUAAACUCACUUGCCAUUAUUCUUCAUCGCCAUGGUUCUUUCAGCUUCCAUUCCCGCCAACUUAGCAAAUUCCGCUGGGAAUCGCUAGAGUACCAACAUGUAUGCAAACAUGUAAAAUUCAUAUAUAACCAAGUAUUAUUUUGUAACAACUAAUGAAUCUUACCAACGAGUUUGUGUAGGUUUUAGUGAUAAUAAAUGUAAAGUAAGGAUCAUCGCUUUCGUCAUCAUCUUCAAUAACAUGUUCUACUUUUGGUGUCAUAACUCUUUCACACCCAUUUGGAUUAUGGAUUGGCAUUCUUAAGGUGAAUUGAUCAAGGGGUUAAAAGUAGAGAAAAUCACCAUGACCCAACUUGAUAUCUUGAACCACAUUGUGUCAUCCAUUGGCAAAACAGUAACUACUGUUGAUUUGUUUGAUCCUCAAUCUCCACCGGUACCCUCCAUUUGCAGAUACGAUUACCGGACCUUCUUGGAUUUUGUUCUCCAAAUGCUUGGCAAUGGCUACAAACUAUUUUGUAAAUGGACAAAAAUUACAAGAAAAAAAAUGAAAAACUAGGAGUGUGAGUUGAGAAGAUGAGUACCAGGUGGAUGGUUGAGCAAGAUCACAAAGAAUGUGUAAUCAAGUUUGUGAGAAGUGAAGUGAAUGAAACUGAGACAUGAGAUUGAAGUAUUUCCAGCUCUAGCUGAUAGGGAAAUAAUCAAAUAAUGUCUAUCCUAGGCCAUAGUGGCUCUUAAGUUGUGAUUUUUGGGUUCUUACAAUGAUAUUCAAUUCAAUCUGUAACAAGUACAUUGUUCAUAUGCAAUUAUCAAGGCUUGUAGUACCUUUUACUAUGGUGUGGCUGACGUAUUAAUAUUAACAUCAGCCACCGUGGCUUUUGUGGGCGGUCGUGCGGCUGGGAGAGCGCCCGCGUGGCGGGAGAUGAAAAAUGGACGACUGGAUGCGCAGGCGGGAGAUGAAAAAUGGACGACUGGAUGCGCAGCCACGUGGCGGGGUCUAGGUUUGCACUUUGACCCCUGAAGUUUGAGAAUUUACACUUUCGGUCCCUGGAGUUAGGAUUUAACAGAGAAAACUAACGAAGUUAGUGGAUAAAGCUCAUCUGAGGGGAAUUUUGGUCUUUUCACACCCCUAUUUUGUCCUUUAGCGUCGGGGUAAACCUGCACCAGAAGGGAACAGAACAAGGUCAAACAAAAUGCAAUCCUUCAAACUCGCACCAGCUUAGCUUUCCUUAUGUAAACCUGCAAUCUUGGACCUUUUCGCCAUCCACCGCCAUGUCCUUGCCAAGAAUAUAUUGCAACAUCUAGCCAACCGAGUCAAAGCUGUCAGGAAAACGAGGAUAUUGACCCAAACACAAUUUGAUCACCACACCAUUUUGGCGAAAGUACUGGUUAGCCAAAGAUAGUAUGAUGUCUCAAUAUGAAUACUACGUGACGGACAUAGUCCAUCGCCAAAAGCAACGCUCCAGGCGGCAAACACCAUCGUUGUUGGAAUCUUAGCGCUGUAAGCACGCCACACAAAACAGUACAAAACAGUUUACCUUUUACUCCACUUAAACUGAGGUUGAUGCCCAUCCAUAACCAUCCGAUCUUUGAUAUCAAGUCUGACUUGUUUGACUGUGAAAUUAUUAUUAGUUAUCC